rnacentral:rRNA from 1 species
CCCUUAGAUGUCCGGGGCCGCACGCGCGCUACACUGUAGAUCGCAGCGAGUGUCGUACCUGUCCCUCCCGUAGCCGGGUGGGUAAACCAUUGAAAGAUCGAACGUGGCUUGGGAUCGGGCCUUGAAAUUAUUGCCCGUGAACGAGGAAUUCCCAGUAAGCGCGAGUCAUAAGCUGGCGUUGAUUACGUCCCUGCCCUUUGUACACACCGCCCGUCGCUACUACUGAUUGGACGUUUAAGCAAGAUUUUUAAACACUGACAGUGUGUAGUUCACGCUAUACUACAGUGAGAAGAAGAAGAUCGAGCUUACUUGUCUAGAGGAAGUAAAAGUCGUAACA